rnacentral:rRNA from 1 species
GAUGAACGCUGGCGGCGUGCCUAAUACAUGCAAGUCGAGCGAACAGACGAGGAGCUUGCUCCUCUGACGUUAGCGGCGGACGGGUGAGUAACACGUGGAUAACCUACCUAUAAGACUGGGAUAACUUCGGGAAACCGGAGCUAAUACCGGAUAAUAUAUUGAACCGCAUGGUUCAAGAGUGAAAGACGGUUUUGCUGUCACUUAUAGAUGGAUCCGCGCCGCAUUAGCUAGUUGGUAAGGUAACGGCUUACCAAGGCAACGAUGCGUAGCCGACCUGAGAGGGUGAUCGGCCACACUGGAACUGAGACACGGUCCAGACUCCUACGGGAGGCAGCAGUAGGGAAUCUUCCGCAAUGGGCGAAAGCCUGACGGAGCCACGCCGCGUGAGUGAUGAAGGUCUUCGGAUCGUAAAACUCUGUUAUUAGGGAAGAACAAAUGUGUAAGUAACUAUGCACGUAUUGACGGUACCUAAUGAGAAAGCCCCGGCUAACUACGUG